GUAAACAUAGUUUAUUAAAAACCCUAGUCUGUGAAACUAGAGAUGGGAGUUAAUAACUCUCUGUUCACC
rnacentral:tRNA from 1 species